rnacentral:tRNA from 1 species
UAGCUCAGUGGUAGAGCACUUGCCUAGCAAGCACAAGGCCCUGAGUUUGAUCCUCAG